AUACGUAGGGUGCAAGCGUUGUCCGGAAUUAUUGGGCGUAAAGAGCUCGUAGGCGGUUUGUCGCGUCGGAUGUGAAAACCCGGGGCUUAACUCCGGGCCUGCAUUCGAUACGGGCUGACUAGAGUUCGGCAGGGGAGACUGGAAUUCCUGGUGUAGCGGUGAAAUGCGCAGAUAUCAGGAGGAACACCGGUGGCGAAGGCGGGUCUCUGGGCCGAUACUGACGCUGAGGAGCGAAAGCGUGGGGAGCGAACAGGA
rnacentral:rRNA from 1 species